rnacentral:rRNA from 1 species
GACGAACGCUGGCGGCGUGCUUAACACAUGCAAGUCGAACGGAAAGGCCCUGCUUGCAGGGUACCCGUGUGGCGAACGGGUGAGUAACACGUGGGUGAUCUGCCCUGCACUUCGGCAUAAUCCUGGGUAAAUGGGUCUAAUACCGGGUAAGCGUCAUUAUUAGCGUGUUGGUUGGUAAGAUUUUUCGGUGUAGGAUGAGCUCGUGGCCCAUUAGCUUGUUGGUGGGGGAAUGGCUUACCAAGGCGGCGACGGGUAGCCGGCCUGAGAGGGUGGACGGCCACAGUGGGACUGGGACUCGGCCCAGACUCCUACGGGAGGCAGCAGUAGGGAAUAUUGCACAAGGGGCGCAAGCCGGAUGCAGCGACGCCGCGGGGGGGAUGACGGCCUUCGGGUUGGAAACGCCUUUCGCUAGGGACGAAGCUUAUUGUGACGGUACCUAGAUAAGAAGCACCGGCUAACUACGUG